rnacentral:lncRNA from 1 species
AUGCUUUACUUUACUAUUUUUUGUUUUGAAUCUUUCUGUGUUUUAGUGAUUACCCAUAGUAGAAACCUGGUUUACAACAUUGGCUUCAUGAAUACUGCAUUAUCAAGAACAGCAUACUUCUUCUCCUCUUCUCCUAAAGAGGAGGAGUGAGAGAGUGGUUGUGGUGGAGUUCAGCUACCCAGCAAGGUAAAAAACUACCACACUUAUGCAGUCAGAAACUCUGAGCAUGCCUACUGAAUCAGAGUGUGUAGGUAAGUGAACAAAUAAGAAUGGCUGUUUUGUAAAUCACUCUCAAACUUCACUGUAUACUAAGCAUAAAAUCUGUUCAGUCGUUUACUGCUUGAACAGAUAUUUAGGACUGUUGGUGGCAGAUAAGUUGGAUUUUGUGAUUGCCAGUGGCAGCUAACAAGACAACUACACAUCUAAGUCCACUUUAAAAAUCUUGCCCUUUGUGCCUAUCUAGCUCUUCUACAUUGCCAGUAAAACAGUAACUACUGUCAUGAAUCCAUUUUAUAAUCAAUCUAGUGGUGCAGGUUUGCUUGAAUGAACAAGGAGGCUACUUUUAAUCUAAAGUGGAACUAAAACUAGCAGCAUAAGCUUGCUGCUAAAUUUCCUCAACAACUCCAAUCAAAUAACUACAGUUAAGAAACAACAACAUUGACAACAACAACAAAACACACGACAUUUUUAAAAAGGCAUUUGAAACCAGUUGGAGUGCACAGAUGUUGAAGUCAUACAAGGGUGAUCAUCUGGAACUUAGGCACUGAAGUUUAAAAGUGUAAAACCCUUUUGCUCUGAGUGAUUACUGAACAGGGCAUCUGGCUCAUGAAAGAAAAGUUUAAUUUUAUAUAGUAUAAAUGACAAAAUGGAUUGCUAUUAAUUAGCCAUGUUGUUACUGAAGUGGCUUUAUUUAUAGACUACAGUUCUUCCGUACACUCUUCGAGAAACACUAAACACAGAACAAAUAAUAUAAUCUCUUCCCAAAUAAAUGGCUCACUGCAAAUAUUGCA